rnacentral:lncRNA from 1 species
AAAGGAAGAGGGAGUGAGCCGAGGACUCCCAGCGGGAAGGGCAGCCGUUGUGACAUUCCUAUAGCAGAGGCUGCCAAAGGUCGCUGUCCAGUAGUGGGGUAGAGAGUUUUGAGUAUACCAUGCCCCUCUUUCUGUAGACUCAACUUUCAGACAAGGAUUUACAUAACCAUACAGGAGCAACUUCCGGAGAUAGUAAUAGCUCUCAAUUACUCAGCUGAGGAUCUAAGGACCAUCUGCAUCCAUGGUGUUUUUCUGCUCCAAACCGAGGAUUCACAGAUUCAGGAGAUGGGCCUAGGAAUCUCCAUUUUAACAACUCCCAAGGGCCUUCUUAGGCAAGGUAAAGUAAAAAACAAAACAAAACAAAACAAAGCUGCUACUCUAGCUCAGCUUCCUAAGAUAGUGAGGGAACUAAUCCUUUUUGUGCACAUACUAUGUGUCUGGUAUUGUGCUCUAAUUUUAUAUACACAUGCUAUUAGUUGAUUUACUCCUAUAAAAAACCUUUAGAUAGGUUUUCUUAUAUCCACUUUAUAGCAGAGAAACUGAGAUUUGAGUUAGGAAACUGCUCAGGGCUCCUUAGCCAGUAAUUGAAAGAGACAGUCUAGAAGAGUCCACACCUGACUUCAUUACCCUAGAUUUUAAGACCUGUAACAUGGUACAUGUUUCAGAUUUAGCAUAAAUAGCUAGUAGAUAUAAUAAUAUGUUACCAUAUAUAUGGGAAUAUAUUAAUCUCAUGUUAUACUGUGAAUUAUAAAACAUAUAAUUGAUUACUCAUUCUAGUGUAUCUUUUUUAUUGAGACAUGAUUAACAUAUAACAUGGUAGUUUCAGGUAUACAAUGUAAUUAUUUGAUAUUUAAAUAUAUUGUGAAAUGAUCACCAUAUAAAUUUAAUUAAUAUCCGUUACCACAGAGUUAACUUUUUUUUUUCUUGUGAUGGAAACUUCUAAGAUCUCCUCUCUUAGCACCUUUCAAAUAUAUAUUGCAGUAUUCUUAACUAUAGUCACCAUGUUAUAUAUUAUAUCCCCAGGACUUAUUAACUGGAAAUUGGUACAUUUUGACCAUUUUCACCCAUUUUAUAUGCCCUAACCCCCCACCUCUGGCUAUAUGUAUAGGUGUGUGUAUAUAUAUAUAUAUAUAUAGAGAGAGAGAGAGAGAGAGAAUAGAAUAUUAUAUGUGUCACAUUUUAUUCAUUUAUCAAUCGAUGAACACUUAGGUUGCUUCCAUAUAUCUUGGAUAUUGUAAAUAAUGCUGCAGUGAAUAUGGAAGUAUAUUACCUUUUUGAGUUAGUGCUUUCAUUUACUUCACAUAAACACCCAGAAGUGGAAUUGCUGGAUCAUAUGGUAGUUCUAUUUUAGUUUUUUGAGGCACCUCUAUACUGUUUUCUAUAAUGGCUGCACUAAUUUACAUUCCCAUCAACAGAGCACAAGGGUUCCCUUUUCUCCAUAUUCUCUCCAACACUCGUUAUUCCUUGUCUUUUUGAUAAUAACCAUUCUAACAAGUGUGAAGCAAAUCUCGUUAUUGUUUUCAUUUACAUUUCCCUGAUGAUUAGUGAUGUUAAACACCUUUUAAUGUACUAGUUAGCCAUCUGUAUGUCUUCUUUGGAAAAAAUGUAUAUUCAGAUCCACUUUUUAAUGUUUGUUUAUUUGCUAUUGAGUUGUGUGAGUUCUUUACAUAUUUUGGAUAUUGACCCCUUGUCAGACAUAUGAUAUGCAAAUAUCUUCUCACACUUAGUAGAUUGACUUUUUAUUUUGUUGAUGGUUUCCUUUGCUGUGCAGCUUUUUAGUUUGAUAUAAUCCCACUUAUUUAUUUCUGCUUUUGUUGCCUUUGCUUUUGGUGUCAAAUCCAAAAAAUUAUCAUUAGGACUGAUGUUCAGGAGCUUAUUGCCUAUGUUUUCUUCUAGGAGUUUUAUGGUACAAUUCUUAUGUUCAUGUCUUUAAUCCAUUUUGAGUUGAUUUUUGUGUGUGGUGUAAGAUGGUGGUCCAAAUUCAUGCUUUUGCAUGUGACUGUCCAGUUUUCCCAACAUUGUUUACUGAAGGGACCAUUACUUCCCCAUUAGUAUUCUUGACUCCUUCAUUAUAAAUUAACAUGCAUAGGUUUAUUUCUGGGCCCACUAUUCUGUUCCACUGAUCUACAUGUCUGUUUUUAUGCCAAUACCAUAAAGUUUUUAUUACUAUAGCUUUGUAAUAUAGUUUGAAAUUAGGAUGUGUGAUGUCUUCAGCUUUUUUCCGCUUUCUCAAGAUUACUUUGUCAUGAGAGUCAUUAUUUUAUUUUUCCCGAAAAUUAUCUUUUAACAUAGGAAAUGUAUAAUCAAUGAUGAAAGAUUGAAGAUUAUGAAUAUGCUAACUGUGUCAUAGAAUCAUGAUCACAUGCUAGCCAUAAGAAUUACAAUGAAGUGUUCUGGAUAGAGAACAUCCCCUUUUUUCUUCUUGCUACCCAGACCAUGAAUGCAAUAGCUGCUGGUAGAGCAGUCACUUUGAAUCACUUGGAAACUGAAUGUUGUGGAUGAUAAGAAGAGUCUGAGUCUGAAUGUGUAUUCAUAUUCUGUGUGCAGCUCUGAACAGCUUUCUAGAUUUUAUAUGAGACAGAAAUUUCUUUCUUAUUUAAGCCCUAUAAUUUUGGGUUUUUCUCUCUCUCACAGUGGAACCUAAUCCUAAACAGUAAUUACUUCUGUUAUAAAACUCUAUCAUAAAAUAUUUUAUCAUGAUAAAUAGUAAAUGAUUAUGAAUAUUAAUAAAGCUAUAUUUGGUAUUAUUUCAAAAGCCAUAGCCAACAAUGAGAAUGUAGUAUUUUAGUGGUAAUUAAUACAUAUGUUGCCAUUUUUAUAGGUUCUCAGUUAUAAUUAUUAAAAGUCAGUUUUGUAAUUAGCAAUCCAACAUAAAAAUUGUUUGUAGCACACUUCAAUUUAAGGUAAACUCAGGAUUAAAAUGACAUAAAUCCAUUGUUAAACAAUUAUUUUUGAUUCCAUGGUAACUUCUUAUUAGAGACAGUUUUGCUGUGUCAAAGAUAAAAUUGAGUUUUAUAGGAUGAGUAAUACAUUGAGUCAACAGAAGGACUCUUUCUUUUUCCAAAGUUUCCAACCAGGUUUCUGGCUCUGUUGUGCAAAGCCAAAUGUCCCAUAUCCAAAUAAAGUACUCUAGCAGAUUUAGGAUUGGAAUGCAAAAAUUAUGUGGUAAUACUGGAUAAAAUGGGCCAAUGGGAGGAAAUAUGAACUCUUGGAGAAAGUUCAAGUAUCAACUAAACUAGUCAAGGAAUUACCGUUUAUCAUUAUAAUUGGUAUUUAGAAAAAUGUUGUCUGAAGAAUGAAGGUGAAAGUCCUGCAUUCCCUAUACAAGAAAUUGACCCAUUGUAUCUAAUUUUGUUAUAGCAGAAUUUUAUCCCAUGGCUUAAAUUUUUUUUUUUCUCCUUUCCUUUUUUGAAGGGAACAGCCUUACAUGCAUAAGAUAUGUUGUUUUUAAUCUAUUUCCACUGUAGGUUUAGGGGGUGGGGAGAUAAAAUAGGGUUGCUUUGUGAAGCCAUAGAAAAAAUGAAGAUUCAAGAGUUUGAUUUAAAAAGCGAAAAUUUAGUAUUUUAUAACUAUUGUAAAAAAAAUUCAAGGAAUUCUCUUUCUUGCUAUUAUUAUUAUUUGCUUUUUAGGGCCAUACCUGCGGCAUAUGGAGAUUCCCAGGCUAGGGAUUCAAUCAGAGCUACAGCUGCCGGCCUAUGCCAUAGCCACAGCAGUGUAGGAUCCGAGCCAUAUCUGAGACUUACACCACAGCUCAUGGCAAGGCCAGAUCUUUAACCCACUGAGUGAGGCCAGGUACCGAACCCACAACCUCAUGGUUCCUAGUUGGAUUCGUUUCUGCUGCACCACAAUGGAACUCCUCUUGCUAUUAUUUUUGAAUGCAAGAUUCAUUGAACAAACCAAGCAGGGGAGGAGUUCCCAUCGUGGCGCAGCUGAAACGAAUCUGACUAGCAACCAUGAGGUUGUGGGUUCGAUCCCUGGCUUUGCUCAUUGGGUUAAGGAUCCGGCAUUGCUUUGAGCUGUGGUGUAGGUCGCAGACGCGGCUCGGAUCUGGCGUUGCUGUGGCUGUGGUGUAGGCUGACAGCUACAGCUCCAAUUAGACCCUUAGCCUGGGAACCUCCAUAUGCCGCUGGUGCGGCCCUAUAAGGUCAAAAAAAGACAAAAAAAAAAAAAAAAAAAAAAAAAACCAAGCAGGGGAAAUUGAGAAGUGGACCUCAGUGGACUUAAUAAGACUAGAUUUCUGCAUUUAGACUAUACAAUAAUAAUACUUUACUACAUGUUCAGUUUUUAAAUAUAUGUAUAACUUUAAUUUCGUUAAUUUAAGAAGUUGAAUUUCUCCCUUUUUUUAUUUAACAUAAAUUCAACUGGGAAUCUACAGGCACUCCCUGAAGCUAUUAGAGCUACUGCAACCCAUCACACAAGGAUUCCAUUCUGAGGUCUCCCCUAGAGGACAAAUUUAAGGAAAGCUCAAUUCUAAUUUUCCUCCUAUAUAAUACCAGAAGACCACACUGACCCUGUCGGGAUUUGAUCCUUUAUAACUCCAUGAUUUCUCACCUGAGAUUUGGACCAUUUAAUAGUGCUUUAAGUACUUUAGCAAGGCAUUCUUACACUGCAUUUCUAAUCAGGGAAACAUAAAACAAGAUCUGUCCUUAAGCUGUUUUACUUUGCCUUGUAAUGGUCUCCAUUUCCUUUCAUGAGGCAUUAUCUUGAUAAAUUGCUGUUUUUAAAGAUCACUCUUUGCUUGGAAAGUGUACAAUGGAUCUUUUUGGAAUUGAGAUUUUGGCCACAUGUUGUGUAACCUCCCUGCCUGUUAUAUCAACACUUCAGGAGAUUCCUGAUUUGGCUCUUUGUUUCUGAUCUGUAUACUGGCUAUUAGCAAAUUAGAUGGGUGGAUUCUUCCAACAGUUAAGCAUAAUCUUUAGCUAAACUAAGGACUAAAAAGCAUACAAGAAUAUUAUUAUACUCAGAAAAAUCCAUAGAGUACUCAAACUCUGUUAAAAAAAAAAA